CAGCCGCCGCGGUAAUACGAAGGGGGCUAGCGUUGCUCGGAAUGACUGGGCGUAAAGGGCGCGUAGGCGGAUUGUUUAGUUAGGCGUGAAAUUCCUGGGCUUAACCUGGGGACUGCGCUUAAUACAGGCAGUCUAGAGUGAGGAAGAGGGUUGUGGAAUUCCCAGUGUAGAGGUGAAAUUCGUAGAUAUUGGGAAGAACACCGGUGGCGAAGGCGGCAACCUGGUCCUUGACUGACGCUGAGGCGCGAAAGCGUGGGGAGCAAAUAGGAUUAGAGACCCCAGUAGUCCCUGUCUCUUAUAC
rnacentral:rRNA from 1 species